rnacentral:rRNA from 1 species
AGUGAACGCUGGCGGCAGGCCUAACACAUGCAAGUCGAGCGGCAGCGCGGGGGCAACCCUGGCGGCGAGCGGCGGACGGGUGAGGAAUUCGUCGGAAUCUGCCUUUUUGUGGGGGAUAACGUAGGGAAACUUACGCGAAUACCACAUCCGUCCUACGGGAGAAAGGGGGGGACCGCAAGGCCUCACGCGGAAUGAUGAGACGACUACCGAUUAGCUAGUUGGUUGGGUAACGGCCCACCAAGGCGACGAUCGGAAGCUGAUCUGAGAGGAUGAUCGGCCACACUGGAACUGAGACACGGCCCAGACUCCUACGGGAGGCAGCAGUGGGGAAUCUUCGACAAUGGGCGAAAGCCUGAUCCAGCAAUGCCGCGUGUGUGAAGAAGGCCUUCGGGUUGUAAAGCACUUUUAUCCGGAAAGAAAACCCUGGAGCGAAUAUAUUCGCGGGAUGACGGUACCGGAAGAAUAAGCACCGGCUAACUUCGUG